rnacentral:rRNA from 1 species
GGCUGCCUAAUACAUGCAAGUCGAGCGGACAGAUGGGAGCUUGCUCCCUGAUGUUAGCGGCGGACGGGUGAGUAACACGUGGGUAACCUGCCUGUAAGACUGGGAUAACUCCGGGAAACCGGGGCUAAUACCGGAUGGUUGUCUGAACCGCAUGGUUCAGACAUAAAAGGUGGCUUCGGCUACCACUUACAGAUGGACCCGCGGCGCAUUAGCUAGUUGGUGAGGUAACGGCUCACCAAGGCGACGAUGCGUAGCCGACCUGAGAGGGUGAUCGGCCACACUGGGACUGAGACACGGCCCAGACUCCUACGGGAGGCAGCAGUAGGGAAUCUUCCGCAAUGGACGAAAGUCUGACGGAGCAACGCCGCGUGAGUGAUGAAGGUUUUCGGAUCGUAAAGCUCUGUUGUUAGGGAAGAACAAGUGCCGUUCAAAUAGGGCGGCACCUUGACGGUACCUAACCAGAAAGCCACGGCUAACUACGUGCCAGCAACCGCGGUAAUACGUAGGUGGCAAGCGUUGUCCGGAAUUAUUGGGCGUAAAGGGCUCGCAGGCGGUUUCUUAAGUCUGAUGUGAAAGCCCCCGGCUCAACCGGGGAGGGUCAUUGGAAACUGUGGAACUUGAGUACAGAAGAGGAGAGUGGAAUUCCGCGUGUAGCGGUGAGAUGCAUAGAGGUGUGGAGGAGCACAGGGGGAACGCGACUCUUUGGUCUGUU